CCUACGGGAGGCUGCAGUGGGGAAUAUUGGACAAUGGGGGGAACCCUGAUCCAGCCAUGCCGCGUGUGUGAAGAAGGCCCUCGGGUUGUAAAGCACUUUCAGUGAGGAAGAACGCCUGGUGGUUAAUACCCAUCAGGAAAGACAUCACUCACAGAAGAAGCACCGGCUAACUCCGUGCCAGUAGCCGCGGUAAUACGGAGGGUGCGAGCGUUAAUCGGAAUUACUGGGCGUAAAGCGCGCGUAGGUGGCUUGAUAAGCCGGUUGUGAAAGCCCCGGGCUCAACCUGGGAACGGCAUCCGGAACUGUCAAGCUAGAGUGCAGGAGAGGAAGGUAGAAUUCCCGGUGUAGCGGUGAAAUGCGUAGAGAUCGGGAGGAAUACCAGUGGCGAAGGCGGCCUUCUGGACUGACACUGACACUGAGGUGCGAAAGCGUGGGUAGCAAACAGGAUUAGAUACCCUAGUAGUC
rnacentral:rRNA from 1 species